rnacentral:rRNA from 1 species
UGGGGAAUUUUGCACAAUGGGGGAAACCCUGAUGCAGCGACGCCGCGUGAUUUAGAAGGCCUUCGGGUUGUAAAAAUCUUUUCUAUGGGAAGAAAAUGACAGUACCAUAGGAAUAAGGACCGGCUAAUUACGUGCCAGCAGCCGCGGUAAUACGUAAGGUCCGAGCGUUGUCCGGAAUCAUUGGGCGUAAAGGGUACGUAGGCGGGUAAGCAAGUUAGAAGUGAAAUCCUAUAGCUCAACUAUACUAAGCUUUUAAAACUGCUCAUCUUGAGGUAUGGAAGGGAAAGUGGAAUUCCUAGUGUAGCGGUGAAAUGCGCAGAUAUUAGGAGGGAUACCGGUGGCGAAGGCGACUUUCUGGCCAUAACCUGACGCUGAGGUACGAUAGCGUGGGUAGCAAGCAGG